rnacentral:rRNA from 1 species
UACGUAGGGGGCAAGCGUUGUCCGGAUUUAUUGGGCGUAAAGAGCGUGUAGGCGGUCUGACAGGUCUGCUGUGAAAACUCGAGGCUCAACCUCGAGAUGUCGGCGGAAACCGUCUGGCUAGAGUCCGGAAGAGGAGAGUGGAAUUCCUGGUGUAGCGGUGAAAUGCGCAGAUAUCAGGAAGAACACCUAUGGCGAAGGCAGCUCUCUGGGACGGUACUGACGCUGAGACGCGAAAGCGUGGGGAGCGAACAGG